AGUGGAGCAGCAGUUGGGGAGAUGGCACUUCAUUUCUGCUUAUGGUUUUGAAAAUUAGUUCAAAAUUUGAAUUAAGACGAUUUUGCCGCACUACUGGUGCUGUUGCUAUGUUAAAGCUUAGCAAGCCAAACCCAGAUGACCUGGGACAGUUAAAGAAACAAGGUAAUUUGUUUGUUUCCACUUUUGUUUUUUUUUCCC